rnacentral:rRNA from 1 species
GAUGAACGCUGGCGGCGUGCCUAAUACAUGCAAGUCGAACGAAUCUUCUUCGGAAGAUGAGUGGCGAACGGGUGAGUAAUACAUAGGUAACCUGCCCCUGUGCGGGGGAUAACAGGAGGAAACUCCUGCUAAUACCGCAUAGCCAUGAGCACCGCAUGGAGCCCAUGCCAAAUAUCCUUUACGGGAUAGCGCAGGGAUGGACCUAUGGCGCAUUAGCUAGUUGGCGGGGCAACGGCCCACCAAGGCAACGAUGCGUAGCCGGCCUGAGAGGGCGGACGGCCACAUUGGGACUGAGACACGGCCCAGACUCCUACGGGAGGCAGCAGUAGGGAAUUUUCGGCAAUGGGGGAAACCCUGACCGAGCAACGCCGCGUGAGCGAAGAAGGCCUUCGGGUCGUAAAGCUCUGUUGUAAAGGAAGUACGUCGCAUGCAGGAAAUGGUGUGCGAGUGACGGUACUUUACCAGAAAGCCACGGCUAACUACGUGCCAGCAGCCGCGGUAAUACGUAGGUGGCGAGCGUUAUCCGGAAUCAUUGGGCGUAAAGAGGGAGCAGGCGGCCGCAAGGGUCUGUGGUGAAAGACCGAAGCUAAACUUCGGUGAGCCAUGGAAACCGGGCGGCUAGAGUGCGGAAGAGGAUCGUGGAAUUCCAUGUGUAGCGGUGAAAUGCGUAGAUAUAUGGAGGAACACCAGUGGCGAAGGCGACGGUCUGGGCCGCAACUGACGCUCAUUCCCGAAAGCGUGAGGAGCAAAUAGGAUUAGAUACCCUAGUAGUCCACGCCGUAAA